rnacentral:rRNA from 1 species
CCUACGGGUGGCAGCAGUGAGGAAUAUUGGUCAAUGGACGGGAGUCUGAACCAGCCAAGCCGCGUGAAGGAAGAAGGUACAGUGUGUCGUAAACCGCUUUUGUCCGAGAAUAAACCUGGGGACGAGUAUUCGGCUGAGAGUACUUGACGAAAAAGCAUCGGCUAACUCCGUGCCAGCAGCCGCGGUAAUACGGAGGAUGCAAGCGUUCUCCGGAUUUAUUGGGUUUAAAGGGUGCGUAGGCGGCCUGAUAAGUUAGCGGUGAAAUGCCCGGGCUUAACCCCGGAACUGCCUCUAAGACUGGCGAUCUAGAGAUGAGAUGAGGUAGGCGGAAUGUACGGUGUAGCGGUGAAAUGCUUAGAGAUCAUACAGAACACCGAUUGCGAAGGCAGCUUACCAA